rnacentral:rRNA from 1 species
UUGUAGCCUGCUAUGGUAUAACUUAGUGGCAGACGGGUGAGUAAUAUAUAGGAAUCUACCUAGUAGUACGGAAUAAUUGUUGGAAACGGCAACUAAUACCGUAUACGCCCUACGGGGGAAAAAUUUAUUGCUAUUAGAUGAGCCUAUAUUAGAUUAGCUAGUUGGUGGAGUAAUAGCCUACCAAGGCAAUGAUCUAUAGCUGAUCUGAGAGGAUGAUCAGCCACACUGGAACUGAGAUACGGUCCAGACUUCUACGGGAGGCAGCAGUGGGGAAUAUUGGACAAUGGGCGAAAGCCUGAUCCAGCCAUGUCGCAUGAGUGAAGAAGGCCCUUGGGUUGUAAAGCUCUUUUAGUGAGGAAGAUAAUGACGGUACUCACAGAAGAAGUCCUGGCUAACUCCGUGCCAGCAGCCGCGGUAAUACGGAGAGGGCUAGCGUUAUUCGGAAUUAUUGGGCGUAAAGGGCGCGUAGGCUGAUUAAUAAGUUAAAAGUGAAAUCCCGAGGCUUAACCUUGGAAUUGCUUUUAAAACUAUUAAUCUAGAGAUUGAAAGAGGAUAGAGGAAUUCCUGAUGUAGAGGUAAAAUUCGUAAAUAUUAGGAGGAACACCAGUGGCGAAGGCGUCUAUCUGGUUCAAAUCUGACGCUGAGGCGCGAAGGCGUGGGGAGCAAACAGGAUUAGAUACCCUGGUAGUCCACGCUGUAAACGAUGAAUGUUAAAUAUGGGAAGUUUACUUUCUGUAUUACAGCUAACGCGUUAAACAUUCCGCCUGGGGACUACGGUCGCAAGAUUAAAACUCAAAGGAAUUGACGGGGACCCGCACAAGCGGUGGAGCAUGUGGUUUAAUUCGAUGCAACGCGAAAAACCUUACCACUUCUUGACAUGAAAAUCAUACCUAUUC